UAUUACACGCUCGGGCGCAAAUUAGACGAGUUUUUCCAACAGCAGUGUCUCCAACGACGACACAUUUCACCAACUCUUGAUGGGGUUGUUCGUUAUCUAUCAUUACUAAAGGCUCCACUAUACCUUGCGAUGCUGAAACAGCUUUUUACGUAUACGAGACGAGUACAUCAAACCGGAGAAGAAAGGGUGCAAAAUUGUAGGUCAUACUCGAGUGAUACUUCCAUUCUACCUAGCCAAGGACAUGAAAAAUCGAUACGAAAGUUUGAUUGUGAAAAAAUAUGAAAUUACCUGGUAUCCAAUUGCCUCCAGUCCAUAAAGUCUCACUGAAACUGGUCCAGCUGGACAUUGGUGAAAAGUUCAAUCGGGAUGAUGGCAAAUCGAAGGAA